GGCACUCCUUCAACGUCACCCGCUUCACCAAGGAGUCUCUAAAUCUGCCCCUCUUUCUUCCUAUUCCUCACGUCCACCUCAUUUUUAUUCCUACCCGACACCCUGAUGAAUACUCCGCGGGCCCCUUCGACCCCAAGCCCCCUCGGGGCGCUGUGCAGCUCAUUCGCGAGGGCCACAUAACGGACUACGACAUGCGCUACAGGGGCCUCAUCUCCCUGGGCAGGAACGGUUCCCUCAACGAGGUGGUCAUAUCGAGGCUGACCUCGCGGCACGACGGCGUGUAUGAGAUCAGAGACGACGACGGCAACUUAGUGUCGUCCACGCUGCUGCAGGUGAUCGAGAAGGGAGGCCGGUGGCGAGCGCUUCUCAAGUCCAUCACCGUCCCAUCGGGCAUGUUUGUGUCACUGGCUGGCUUCAUCCUGUUCAUGAAGCGCUACCCAAACUGCAGCUUGUCCCAGAUCAUCACCGGCCUCAGAACAAACCGCACGCCUGCAGCCAACCCUCCGAGGGUCAACAUCCAGGACUACAGCCAACCCGUAUCUGAGCCCUCUAGCUACUACAGUCACGCUCAGCAACCAGGAACUCCAAGGAAGUGGACCCCAAGAACCAGUCCAGCUCACGCUAGUUACAGUCCGGUCAUGAUAGGAAGUCCAAGAACUGAAACCCAGCAAGCAUACAGAGCAGCGGCUAGGAGCUCCCCUAGUCACGCUUCAGCCUCUGGGGUUGAAAACUCUAUUGAGGAAGAUAAACAGAUUUCCUUCUCGGUGUCUGGUGCUUCCAACUGCCUUCAGUCGUCUGAGGACUGCAUUCAGUUCCAGAUCAAUAGGGAUGGUAAUGAAGAAAAGAGGAGCAGUUCCCAAGGAUUUUCCACGCUGCCACUAGACGAGGACACAUCUGGACUGUGCAGUGUUUACACAUCGGAGAAACUGAACUUCUUAUGAGACAAAUAACUGAAGCUGGAACAAGAGAGGAAGAAAUAAAUGUUGGAGAAACUCCA
rnacentral:lncRNA from 1 species